rnacentral:rRNA from 1 species
AGCAGCCGCGGUAAUUCCAGCUCCAAUAGCGUAUAUUAAAGUUGUUGCAGUUAAAAAGCCCGUAGUUGAAUUUCGGGAUCAAUUGAUUGGUCAUGCCUACGGUAUGUACUAGUCAUAUUGGUUCUCACCUUCUAAUGAACCUUAAUGUCAUUCACUUGAUGUUUUGGGGAAUUAGGACUGUUACCUUGAAAAAAUUAGAGUGUUUAAAGCAGGCUUACGCUUGAAUACAUUAGCAUGGAAUAAUGAAAUAGGACAUCGCAUUCUAUUUUGUUGGUUUCUAGGAUCGAUGUAAUGAUUAAUAGGGAUAGUUGGGGGCAUUAGUAUUCAAUUGUCAGAGGUGAAAUUCUUGGAUUUAUUGAAGACUAACUACUGCGAAAGCAUUUGCCAAGGAUGUUUUCAUUAAUCAAGAACGAAAGUUAGGGGAUCGAAGACGAUCAGAUACCGUCGUAGUCUUAACCAUAAACUAUGCCGACUAGGGAUCGGAUGAUGUUAAUUUUAAAUGACUCAUUCGGCAACCG